GUCCCCGUAGCUCAGUGGAUAGAGCGUUCCCCUCCUAAGGGAAAGGUCGCAGGUUCGAAUCUUGCCGAGGACG
rnacentral:tRNA from 1 species